rnacentral:rRNA from 1 species
UACAGAGGUCUCAAGCGUUGUUCGGAUUCAUUGGGCGUAAAGGGUGCGUAGGCGGCGCGGUAAGUCGGGUGUGAAAUCUCGGAGCUUAACUCCGAAACUGCAUUCGAUACUGCCGUGCUUGAGGACUGGAGAGGAGACUGGAAUUUUACGGUGUAGCGGUGAAAAUGCGUAGAUAUCGUAAGGAAGACCAGUGGCGAAGGCGGGGUCUCUGGAC